UUUGCAAUAUGUCUGAUUAGGCAUUAUCUCAUUGUAUCCUUAUAAUAACUCCUCUGUGAGGAUGUUAUUAAAUUUUCCAUUUAACUGAUAAAGAAAUUGAGGUAAAGUAAGAUUAAGUAACUUGCCCAUAGUCACAAAAUAAGUGAUGAAAGCAUGGUUUGAACUAGGUGUCUCUGAAUCUAUGCUUGAGCUUUCAACAAAAGUUAUGAAUUGCCUUCCCAGUGUAGUACAGGAGGGAAAAAAAUUUGUCUUAAAUUUCCUUUUAUUUGCUUAAAAUUUCUGUAUUUGUUUGCCUUGCUUUUCUUUUCUUCCUUUUCUUUUUUCUUUCUUUCCUUUCCUUUCUUUUUUUUUUCUUUCUUUCUUUCUUUGUAAAAAUAUUUAGCACCUAUUAUGUACCAGGGGCUGGAGAAUCAAUAUUAGUAACCAAUAGUAUAAGCCCUGAAAAGGCUCAUAGUCUAGAAAAGGAAGACAGUCAUAAAAAGUUACAAUGUUAUACAAUAAAUGUAUUAGGGGAGGAGAGUGAGUUUCAUGGAAGGCUUUAUAAAGGAGGUGACUUUUGAGUUGGGUAUGGAGGAUGAUUUGGAAGUCUAGAUGAAAUGAGGAAUAGCAUUCCAGACAGAGGAGACAGCUUGUACAACAUUUAGCAUUGUCUCUUUCCAGCUUUGUAAGUUAUCCUGUAAUAUCCGAGAAU
rnacentral:lncRNA from 10 species